rnacentral:lncRNA from 1 species
GUCCCAGCUUUGAUGCACCUGUACUGACCUCGCCUUCUGGAUGGUAGCGGUGUGAAUAGGCAUUUGUCAAAGUGGACGAUUCUCGGGAGGCCCCUAUGGACUCUACAUGCUGUGACCUGCAGAGAGGAUCCAGUCCUGGAUGGGAACAUGUGUGUUGUCCUGUUACAGAGAUGGGAUCUUAUCUCACACGGGCACGUACAUAUGGAACACUCAAUACACUGGAGGAGCUCCUCAAACAGAUGGGAAAAUAGCAAUGCAGUCCAACUUUUUAAGAUUGACCGAAAAAUGGGUAAUUGUUACUAAGUAUGACUAUACGGACAACAACAAGAAACAACAACAGAUUACAUAAGGACUACUCCACACAGCCAAAACCAUAUACUACAGACGAACAAUACAUAACAAACAACUGAUAAGAAAGUGC